AUUGAACGCUGGCGGCAGGCCUAACACAUGCAAGUCGAGCGAGCGGCGGACGGGUGCGUAAUGUAGAGGGACUGCCCGAUAGAGGGGGAUAACUACUGGAAACGGUGGCUAAUACCGCAUACGGCCGGAUAACCCAUAUGGGAUUAGCUAGUAGGUAAGGUAUUGGCUUACCUAGGCGACGAUCCCUAGCUGGUCUGAGAGGAUGAUCAGCCACACUGGGACGGAUACACGGCCCAGACUCCUACGGAGGCAGCAGUGGGGAAUAUUGCACAAUGGGCGCAAGCCUGAUGCAGCCAUGCCGCGUGUAUGAAGAAGGCCCUAGGGUUGUAAAGUACUUUCAGUCGGGAGGCGUUACCGACAGAAGAAGCACCGGCUAACUCCGUGCCAGCAGCCGCGGUAAUAC
rnacentral:rRNA from 1 species